CCUACGGGAGGCAGCAGUGAGGAAUAUUGGUCAAUGGGCGGAAGCCUGAACCAGCCAAGUCGCGUGAGGGAUUAAGGCCCUGCGGGUCGUAAACCUCUUUUGCCGGGGAGCAAAGGUCCGGACGUGUCCGGGCCGGGAGAGUACCCGGAGAAAAAGCAUCGGCUAACUCCGUGCCAGCACCCGCGGUAAUACGGAGGAUCCGAGCGUUAUCCGGAAUUAUUGGGUUUAAAGGGAGCGUAGAUGGGUUGUUAAGUCAGUUGUGAAAGUUUGCGGCUCAACCGUAAAAUUGCAAUUGAUACUGGCAGUCUAGAGUACAGUUGAGGUAGGCGGAAUUCGUGGUGUAGCGGUGAAAUGCUUAGAUAUCACGAAGAACUCUGAUUGCGAAGGCAGCUUACUAGACUGCCACUGACGUUGAUGCGCGAAAGUGUGGGUAUCAAACAGGAUUAGAUACCCCGGUAGUC
rnacentral:rRNA from 1 species